GCAUGUUGGUAAUGUUUGAUCUGUUAAGUUUUGCGAGGAUAUGUGGUCUGCAAAUUCUCCUUUAGCUACACAAUACUAGGAUAUCUACUUUGUAUCUAACCAGCAAAUCCAAACUAUUUCUAAGCUUUAGGAUGGAACUGACAUUCAAGGCAACUAGAAGGACUGGCACGGCGGCACGGCGUGCCCUGGAGGAAGCAGUUCAUCACUCGUUGGCGUUGUGUUCAUCUUCGGAUGAGAGGAUAACAACAUCACCAGCUGUGCCCUCAAGUUCUUCGUCUUCUAGGAUUUAUUGUCUAACCAUAGCCCUUCUUACAUUAAACUUGCCAUACCUGAUCAUUCUUGCCACGUAUUCUAAACUAAACAUUUUUGAAAA